rnacentral:rRNA from 1 species
GCCGCCGCGGUAAUACGGAGGAUUCAAGCGUUAUCCGGAUUUAUUGGGUUUAAAGGGUGCGUAGGCGGAAGUGUAAGUUAGAGGUGAAAUCCCGUCGCUCAACGACGUAAGUGCCUCUGAUACUGCUCUUCUAGCGAGAGAGUGCUGUGGGCGGAAUGUGUAGUGUAGCGGUGAAAUGCUUAGAGAUUACACAGAACACCGAUUGCGAAGGCAGCUCACAAACUCUUUUCGGACGCUGAGGCACGAAAGCGUGGGGAGCAAACAGGAUUAGAUACCCC